rnacentral:ncRNA from 1 species
GGGAAAGAAGACCUUGUUGAGAUUGACUCUAGUUCGACUUUGUGAAAUGACUUGAGAGAUGUAGAAUAAGUUGGAGUCAUUUUCAAUGGAAGUGAAAUACCACUACUUUUAAUGUUAUUUUACUUAUUCCGUGGGGCGAAGACGGGGCAUUGCCCCUGUUUUUGGCCUUAAGACAUGUUUCGGUGGGUCAAUCCGGGCGGAAGACAUUGUUAGGUGGGCAGUUUGUCUAGGGUAGCACAUCUAUUAAAAGAUAACGUAGGUGUCCUAAGAUGAGCUCAACGAGAACAAAAAUCUCAUGUGGAACAAAAGGGUAAAAGCUCAUUUGAUUUUGAUUUUCGGUAUGAAUACAAACCAUGAAAGUGUGGCCUAUUAUGAAAAUGAAGUUAUUUUGGCCUUAGAUGAUGGUGCAUGUUUUAUCAAUGUGUAGCUUCACUUGUAAUGCAUCUUAAAUUAAUGCAUAGCUUCACGUGUAAUGAAUAGUAAGAAUCACAAGAACUUCCUGCUACAUGCCUAUAAGUUUAGCUU